rnacentral:snRNA from 1 species
CGAAGACUCGCAACUCCAUCA